rnacentral:rRNA from 1 species
GAUGAACGCUGACAGAAUGCUUAACACAUGCAAGUCUACUUGAACUUCGGUUUGGGUGGCGGACGGGUGAGUAACGCGUAAAGAACUUGCCUCACAGUUAGGGACAACAUUUGGAAACGAAUGCUAAUACCUGAUAUUAUGAUUUUAGGGCAUCCUAGGAUUAUGAAAGCUAUAUGUGCUGUGAGAGAGCUUUGCGUCCCAUUAGCUAGUUGGAGAGGUAACGGCUCACCAAGGCGUUGAUGGGUAGCCGGCCUGAGAGGGUGAACGGCCACAAGGGGACUGAGACACGGCCCUUACUCCUACGGGAGGCAGCAGUGGGGAAUAUUGGACAAUGGACCAAAAGUCUGAUCCAGCAAUUCUGUGUGCACGAUGACGUUUUUCGGAAUGUAAAGUGCUUUCAGUUGGGAAGAAAAAAAUGACGGUACCAACAGAAGAAGUGACGGCUAAAUACGUG